CGGGAAAAGCUCAAAUUUAAAAUCUGGCAGUCUUUGGCUGUCCGAGUUGUAGUCUGGAGAAGCGUUUUCCGCGCUGGACCGUGUAUAAGUCCCUUGGAAUAGGGCGUCAUAGAGGGUGAGAAUCCCGUCUUUGACACGGACUACCAGUGCUUUGUGAUGCGCUCUCAAA
rnacentral:rRNA from 1 species